UAAGGUAAGCAUGCUUCUUACUUUUACAAGGAUUGGACGCCUUUAUGCGAUAGAUGCUGAUUAAUUAGCAUUGAUUAGGUCAGAUUCAACUGUGGUAAAUACCUUUUCACAUCAUUUCUGAAUUAACCAAUUCUAAUAUCAUGAACAGAAUUCGGACUCUUUCAGAGGAAUAGCUACCCAGGAGCAUUUUGCAUCAUACAUGCAGCAUCUCCGUAAAUAACUCCAUCUGAAACAACUGCAAUAGUUAGACACAAAAUGGUUUCUGACAUUGUACCAAAGUCCGAAAAAGAAAGGCCCUUCCACUGCACAGAAAAGAGAGUGGCAGAACAAUUCAUUUGUUGUUUCAAUCCACUCUACAACACAGCUCAUUUGAUAUGGAUUUGUAUGUUAUCUAAAACAUCUUUCAUUAAAGUACACAGUGAUGCUCUUUAUGGGAAAUACCAGAUACAAUGAA